CAGAGCGGAUCUGCACCACAUCCGGUGUGGAGGAAGAUUUGGAAUCUUAAACUGUCAGGGAAGAUCAAGAUCUUUAUUUGGAGGUGUCUACAUAAUGCAAUACCAUGCUUUAGUGUUUUGACUAAUCGUCACAUUGGCACUGUGUCAUAGUGUCCAAUUUGCAAGGGUGGAGCUGAGGACAUGAGUCACACCCUAUUUAAAUGUGCCCGAGUUCGCGAAGUGUGGGCAGUUCUGGGUAUGGCACAUGUAAGAGCGGAAGCCUGUUCGGUUGAUCGUCUCGGAGCGGCAGCAAUUGAGUUCUUAUUAUGUGACUCCUCGUAUCAGCGGACAUACUCGGGCCCAAUUGAAAUACCGGAACUGAUUGCUGCAACUUGCUGGUAUUUGUGGUGGCAAAGAAGACAGUUCAUACGGGGAGAGGAUUUAGCCUCACUGUUUAAAACGGCAAUAGCGAUCCAUGCUUUAACUCUAAACUACGUACGAGCAUUGGGGAAGCCAAAGAAUACAUCUAGAUUGAACAAAUGGCCGAUCGCGCUUUCAUGCCAAUAG
rnacentral:rRNA from 1 species